GUGACAGUAGCUCAGUGGUGAGAGCGCCGGACUGUGGCUCCGGAGGUCGCUGGGUUCGAUUCCCGCCUGUCACC
rnacentral:tRNA from 1 species